UACGGGGGGGGCAAGCGUUGUUCGGAAUUACUGGGCGUAAAGGGCUCGUAGGCGGCCAACUAAGUCAGACGUGAAAUCCCUCGGCUUAACCGGGGAACUGCAUCUGAUACUGGAUGGCUUGAGUUCGGGAGAGGGAUGCGGAAUUCCAGGUGUAGCGGUGAAAUGCGUAGAUAUCUGGAGGAAUACCGGUGGCGAAGGCGGCAUUCCUGGACCGAGUAUUGACGCUGAG
rnacentral:rRNA from 1 species